UACGAAGGUGGCAAGCGUUGUUCGGAUUUACUGGGCGUAAAGGGAGCGUAGGUGGUUAGGUAAGCCCUCCGGGAAAUCUUCAGGCUUAACCUGAAAAGGUCGGGGGGGACUGCCUGGCUAGAGGACGGGAGAGGAGCGCGGAAUUCCCGGUGUAGCGGUGAAAUGCGUAGAGAUCGGGAGGAAGGCCGGUGGCGAAGGCGGCGCUCUGGAACGUUUCUGACACUGAGGAGCGAAAGCGUGGGGAGCAAACAGG
rnacentral:rRNA from 1 species